UGUGUAGGUGGUUUGGCAAGUCGGUUGUGAAAUCCCCGGGCUUAACCUGGGAAUUGCUUCCGAUACUGCCAGACUAGAGUACGGUAGAGGGCGGUGGAAUUUCCGGUGUAGCGGUGAAAUGCGUAGAUAUCGGAAGGAACACCAAUGGCGAAGGCAGCCGCCUGGGCCUGUACUGACACUGAGACACGAAAGCGUGGGGAUCAAACAG
rnacentral:rRNA from 1 species